UGGUGGCGAGUGGCGAACGGGUGAGUAAUGUAUCGGAACGUACCUUUCAGUGGGGGAUAACGUAGCGAAAGUUACGCUAAUACCGCAUAUUCUGUGAGCAGGAAAGCAGGGGAUCGCAAGACCUUGCGCUGAUUGAGCGGCCGAUAUCAGAUUAGCUAGUUGGUGAGGUAAAGGCUCACCAAGGCGACGAUCUGUAGCGGGUCUGAGAGGAUGAUCCGCCACACUGGAACUGAGACACGGUCCAGACUCCUACGGGAGGCAGCAGUGGGGAAUUUUGGACAAUGGGCGCAAGCCUGAUCCAGCCAUGCCGCGUGAGUGAAGAAGGCCUUCGGGUUGUAAAGCUCUUUCAGCCGGGAAGAAAACGCAUGGGUUAAUACCCUGUGUGGAUGACGGUACCGGAAUAAGUAGCACCGGCUAACUACGUGCCAGCAGCCGCGGUAAUACGUAGGGUGCGAGCGUUAAUCGGAAUUACUGGGCGUAAAGCGUGCGCAGGCGGUUUGUUAAGAUAGGCGUGAAAUCCCCGGGCUCAACCUGGGAACUGCGUUUAUGACUGGCAAGCUAGAGUAUGGCAGAGGGGGGUGGAAUUCCACGUGUAGCAGUGAAAUGCGUAGAGAUGUGGAGGAACACCGAUGGCGAAGGCAGCCCCCUGGGCCAAUACUGACGCUCAUGCACGAAAGCGUGGGUAGCAAACAGGAUUAGAUACCCUGGUAGUCCACGCCCUAAACGAUGUCAACUAGGUGUUGGGAGGGUAAAACCUUUUAGUACCGGAGCUAACGCGUGAAGUUGACCGCCUGGGGAGUACGGCCGCAAGGUUAAAACUCAAAGGAAUUGACGGGGACCCGCACAAGCGGUGGAUGAUGUGGAUUAAUUCGAUGCAACGCGAAAAACCUUACCUACCCUUGACAUGUCCGGAAGCCCUUAGAGAUUUGGGUGUGCUCGAAAGAGAGCCGGAACACAGGUGCUGCAUGGCUGUCGUCAGCUCGUGUCGUGAGAUGUUGGGUUAAGUCCCGCAACGAGCGCAACCCUUGUCGUUAAUUGCCAUCAUUUAGUUGGGCACUUUAACGAGACUGCCGGUGACAAACCGGAGGAAGGUGGGGAUGACGUCAAGUCCUCAUGGCCCUUAUGGGUAGGGCUUCACACGUCAUACAAUGGUCGGUACAAAGGGUCGCCAACCCGCGAGGGGGAGCCAAUCCCAGAAAGCCGAUCGUAGUCCGGAUCGUAGGCUGCAACUCGCCUGCGUGAAGUCGGAAUCGCUAGUAAUCGUGGAUCAGCAUGUCACGGUGAAUACGUUCCCGGGUCUUGUACACACCGCCCGUCACACCAUGGGAGCGGGUUCCGCCAGAAGUAGGUAGCCUAACCGCAAGGAGGGCGCUUACCACGGCGGGGUUCGUGACUGGGGUGAAGUCGUAACAAGGUA
rnacentral:rRNA from 1 species